GCCGGGCGCAGUGGCUCAAGCCUGUAAUCCCAGCACUUUGGGAGGCCAAGACGGGCGGAUCACGAGGCCAGGAGAUCGAGACCAUCCUGGCUAACACGGUGAAACCCCGUCUCUACUAAAAAANUUUUAGUAGAGACGGGGUUUCACCGUGUUAGCCAGGAUGGUCUCGAUCUCCUGGCCUCGUGAUCCGCCCGUCUC
rnacentral:SRP_RNA from 1 species